AAAUUGCGCGUUGUGAACAGUGUGCAUAGUUAUAUCAGUUUCCGGCUAUUCAUAUCCGGAUUAUACUAUACUACAAUAUAUAUCCGUCUUUAACUAAUAAUGGCCACGAGUUUUACGCAAAUACCUGCUCUUCAGAUCAAUUCCAGUGGGCAAAACCGCUUCAUGAAGAAAUUAAUGGCGAAAAUAUUUAGCUUCUACGACGAACAGUCUCUAAUCGAUGUGACAUUUAGAGUUUCAAACCCAACGGCUCUAAAAAUAUUUUUAAUUUUUGGACUGCACAGUGUACCCGCGCAUCGUUUGAUACUCGCAGCGGCGAGUCCUUACUUCGAGAACCUUUUCAACAGCGAUCAAAGCAAUAAUCCUGUCAUAGAGAUAAAUGAUAUCGAUAGUGAUACUUUUGAGCGUCUAAUAACUUUUUGUUACACCGGGCAGACGCUCGUUACCGUUAACAAUGUCGGUGCCAUGCUGAAGGCAGCAAUAGUUUUGAAAUUGGACGACGCCAUAACUUCUUGCGUGGACUACCUCAUGGCACACAUUAAUGAAUACAGUUUACAGGGUGUUUACACGCUGGAGCGUGAAACGCAGUGUGAACGUCUUAUGCAGAAAAUCAUCGAGCACGAAACACAGAAUUUCGUGAAGAUCAGUCAAAGCGAUGAGUUUCUGAAUUUCGAUGUUGAAAAAAUGCAACGUAUUCUGGAAUUGGACAACUUGAAUAUAUUUCGUGAGGAAAAAGCCUUCGCUGCCCUAAAACGCUGGUUCAAUUAUGAUGUUCCUGAGCGUCAAGAGCAUCUGCCACUUUUAAUAGCUUGUCUCCGGCUUACCCAAUUCGAUGUUAACUUUCUGUUGUCACACAUACAACCGUUACCGGGUUGUGAGAUGCUGGCAUUCAAGGCGAUGUUGUGGAUCAGAGAGCCUGCAGCACGGAAAAAGCUAAAUAUGCGAUUUACAGGACCACGUGGGUUCAGAGCUGCAAAUUGUGAGGAAAAAACAUUGCUAGUGGUUUGUUCAGGGUUGAUUCCCAAGCUGCUACAAUAUAACAAAGCUGAAGAUAAGUGGCAGGUAUAUGCGACUAUAAACAAUGACUACAAUCAGUAUACAACUAUUUUAAAGGACGAUAAUAUAUUUUUUAUUGGCGGUGGAAAACAUUGUAAAGCACUCAACAUCGUGCGCAGCUGGAACAUAAGGAAUAAGGCAUGGCAAAGUUUGCCCGCUAUGAACAAAGCUAGAUGCUCACACUGUGUUGUCGAAUUAGAUGGUAAAAUCUACGCGAUUGGUGGUUCUGAUGGUAAUAAUGCUCUGUCAUCGGUGGAAAGAUAUACGACUGCCGAUGGUUGGCAGUUCACGAACAGCUUGAUUGUUGGACGAUAUGAUGCCAGUGCAGUGACUUUGAAUGGUAAAAUUUAUGUAAUGGGCGGGUUUUGGGGCGGUCAAAACUUGAAAUCCGUUGAAUGCUACAACCCGGAUUCGAAUACUUGGACUCCUUGCGCGGACAUGAUAGAAAGUCACCAUUUCGCUGGUGUAAGUUAGAUUAAAAAAUAAUUAUAAAUAUUAGAAGAACGUUCAUCGAGUCCUGAUUUGGUGGAAUGAAGAAGAGUCGAAGAAGGGAAUAUGACGACUUUCCUUAAGUGUUUAAAAAUUAUCAUUCAACUCCUUGGAUUUCUUUUAAUAUAAACGGAUUUACGUAACUGGAAUUCGUAUCCUGUCUGAAGUUUUUCAAUUUAUAUGUGAAUGAGAUACUGCCGUUACAAUACGCGAAUCCAUUUGAUUUCAACCUUACAAACCUUCUGUAGAGUGUUCAAAAUCAGCAAAAGUAGAUCCGCUCCAAAAAAAUAUCCAAAAUUGUCUAAUUGUAAUUAGUCACUGGCUUAUUUUGUCGCCCUCUAUGAAAAUUUAAUACAACAUUUAUUGCUACUUUUUGUAUUACAGGUAGCCGCACAUAGUGGUCACAUUUAUGUUUUAGGCGAUGGGUUAUGGAACAAUACCAACACUGUUGAACGUUACGAUCCCCAGCAGGACACGUGGUCUAAGAUUUGCUCUUUGGAAGUGGGCUUUGGUUUUGUAGCUUGCGUAUCACUAGACAAUAAACUAUGGGCUAUUGGUGGCAACUCUGGUAGCAAGAAAUGUGUAUCAGUCUAUGACGAGGAAAAUGACCGUUGGGAACUAAAGUGCUCUCUACCCGAAACAAGUAUUCAUCCCUGUUUUGUUGUGCCUGAAGCUUUACUGACGUCGAGUGAAUAACAAUAUUAAUAAAUAUAAUUUUUGUAAUAAAU